CUACGGCGGUUAUAGAUGGGUAUGCGUCCUAUUAGCUAGUUGGUGAGGUAACGGCUCACCAAGGCGACGAUAGGUAGGGGAUCUGAGAGGACUAACCCCCACACUGGUACUGAGACACGGACCAGACUCCUACGGGAGGCAGCAGUAAGGAAUAUUGGUCAAUGGAGGCAACUCUGAACCAGCCAUGCCGCGUGCAGGAUGACGGCCCUAUGGGUUGUAAACUGCUUUUGUACCAGAGAAAACCUACUCACGUGUGAGUAGCUGAUAGUAUGGUAAGAAUAAGCAUCGGCUAACUUCGUGCCAGCAGCCGCGGUAAGACGAAGGAUGCAAGCGUUAUCCGGAUUCAUUGGGUUUAAAGGGUGCGUAGGCGGACUUGUAAGUCAGUGGUGAAAUCUCUUCGCUUAACGAAGAAACUGCCAUUGAUACUGCAGGUCUAGAGUACAGAUGACGUGGGCGGAAUAUGACAUGUAGUGGUGAAAUACUUAGAUAUGUCAUAGAACACCGAUUGCGAAGGCAGCU
rnacentral:rRNA from 1 species